rnacentral:rRNA from 1 species
UACGUAGGUGGCAAGCGUUGUCCGGAUUUAUUGGGUUUAAAGGGUGCGUAGGCGGGUUAUUAAGUCAGUGGUGAAAGCCUACAGCUUAACUGUAGAAUUGCCAUUGAUACUGAUGAUCUUGAGUAUGAUUGAGGUGGGCGGAAUGUGUCAUGUAGCGGUGAAAUGCUUAGAUAUGACACAGAACACCGAUUGCGAAGGCAGCUCACUAAGUCAUAACUGACGCUGAUGCACGAAAGCGUGGGGAGCAAACAGG